GUGGAAAUCAUUCUCAAUUUGGUUUUUUGAACUUCAAGAAAUUCAUAAAGACAAACCUGGAACUUGUAACUAACUUGACUGAUUCUCAAACUAAUCGAACCAAUUAUAAACUGAAUGUUACAAUAUAUGAUCAUAAUACUAAGAUAGUUUGAUCUUUCAAGCUUAUGUUUUCUUCAUGGAAGUGCAUCUUGCAUUAGACUUGCAUGACUUCAUUUUUUAUUGUCAGGAUUUAUGAAAUGGCCAUGAAGGAAAAGUUUGAUACUGUUUUUUGACACAGUAUCAAACUCAUGGAAGUUAUAUGACACUUCAAGCGAAGAGGUAAACACUCUUAUAUAUCUCUCAUAAUUCACAUCCUACAAUUCUUGUAAAGUACUCUCUCUCUCUUUAUUUUUAAAUUUCAUAUUGCUCAAAUUGGGUUUUAACAUUAAAAGGGAUUAUUUUUAAUGGUGUCAAAACUCAUUUCUACCGUUUUUUUUUUAAUUGAUGUCUAAACCUAUUUCUAUUGUUUAAAUUCGCAAAUAAUCAUCCUAAAUUUUAGGUUUGAACAUUGUUGUCAUUAUUUCAUAGUCAAACAAAGCAGGGAUCUGAUGUUAGCAUCCCGAGUUCAGUACCAAUAUCUAAUAAACAAAUUACCAAAAUCAAAAAUUUCUGUUAACUAAAAAAUUAACAAAUAGCCGUGAGUUUAGAAAGCAAUUAAUGACGAUUGAUUUGAUCGGUUUGCUAAUGUCUAUUCAGCGUGUUCUCUUCUCUGAAAUUGCUACUCCUAUAUAAAGGACUACUCAACGCUUUUUGCUCCUCUUUUUUUCCAUUUCAGGCUGUAAAUUCACCAUCAAAAAAGUGAUUUCCGUGUUGAAACUCCAAUGUUGGAAACUUAUUAUUUUUGUCUCUAAUUUUUGUUUGGAAUUUUUCAAGCCUAAGUUCUAUUUUUUUCUUCAUUUAUCAAAUCAUAUUUUUCCUUUUUGCCCAAGUCUAAGCAUUUUAGAUCCUUUUUUCAUACAAUUUUUUGUCAUAAGAAUAAUUGGUUCCUUACUUUGUGGUAGUUUAGCCUCUUAAAAGGAAUGCUUACAGGAAGAGAAAUUCACUAUGCAAUUUGUUAAUAAAUAAACUAUUCCUCUUCAAUAUUCCCUUAUUUCUCAGUUUUGACUUAUUUAGGUGCUUAUUAUUUAUAAAUGAUAAAAAGACACAAUCUCUUGAUUUCACAAGAUUUAAGGUAGAGCUACUGACUGUUGAUGAUGCUCAGCCUUCAUAUAAUAACGAGAUUUGAUUGUUGUUUUGUUUCAAAUGGUAGCUUCCUCAAUUUAGGUCUUUCAAACAGUUACGCAAGUAAUUAAGAGUGAAAAUAAUGAAACAAAAGCAUGAAUCUCGAAAGGGUUUAUUAGGCAGAACGUUGGUACCUAAUCAGCAUCUUCCACUCUACAGCUGGAAUCAGACAACCAACCUUGUCUGUGCAUGGAUGAGUUUCAUUACCUUGAUUAUUAGGUGGAACAUGCUUUUAAGUACCUCUUUCUUGGACUUCUGGUGUCUUGUAAAUCAACGAUACGUGGAAAACAAAAAAAGGAAACUAAUGUCAAUUGGAGAAUAUAAGUAAACUUUUGAGUAUUAUGGAACCAGCCAAAUCUGGACCUAAACAUAAUGGUGGAAGGCAAUGGGAAAUUGAACAUGUAGUAGAACAAUUAGAUUAUUGGCAAAGUGAAGAUUUCAACGACAAAGCAAUGGAGAGGUGGAAGGAAAUGGAAAUUGGUGGAUGACCCUGCAACAAAAGCAUCAUAUAUAUAGAAAGGGAUGGAUGACCUGCAACAAAAGCAUCAUAUAUAUAAAAAAAUAAAAUCAAAUAAGACAAACUUUCAACUUGUCUUUAUAGUAUUUUUUUAUUUUUAUUUUUUUGCUUUAUAGGGCGGAGCCUCUAUAGGCUAUAUUGUGUAUAUUGUUUUUGUAGUUUGAUAGGCUUUUUUACUUUCUUAAACAUAUUAAAUGGGGCUGUAAAAUAUUGAAAGAAUGGAUAGGCAAAAGAAAGCAUAUCAGAUGUACUCUAUUAAUUUUUUUUAUCAAGAACCAUCACCUCCUAAUCCUUUAUUAUAAAAGCCAGAUUUGAUGAGCUGGCAGUGUUGCCCUAAUCACUUCUUAUUUUCCCUCCCAAAUUUGUAAUUAAUGCUAAUCUCAUCUGCCAACCACAUCCUAAAUCUCAGCCUUUGAUCUGAUGACCUUUCAUGUUCCUAGAUAACCCAAUCAUAAUCUUAAGUUGUACACUUCCCCACAUUGCAUGCACAUAUCUCUGUUAACUAUGCAGCACACUACUCAAUAAGCCUUCGCUAAUCAGUUUUAGAUAUGCACACCACAUGUUUGAUAAAAUGUUUUAGUGAGCAAUUGGAUCUCCAAAGCUUUCCUCCAAAGAUAGCCCUCUUGACCACAUAUGUAUACCAUGUUUCUGAUAAAAUGUUGUAGUGGAAUGGGAAACUUUCUCUCCAAAGUUAGUCCUCUCUAUCAAUGACAUUUAGAUUGAUGCUUCCCUCUUUGGAAUAUAUGUUCGUGUGUCAUUGUUGACUAUUGUGUAAGUAAAGUGAUAUUGGAGUGGUUAAUAUCUCUAUAUAAAUAGUUCAUGAUCAUCGCUUUCAUUCUUACUAUUAUGUUUUAUUUUCAGAGACUAAAGAACAGGGGUUUCCCAUUCAUAUUGAUCACCAUUUAUAGCAGACCUCUUUUACUCUUCUGCCUUUAGAUUAGCGACUGCAUACUCUCUUUCUCACUUGAUAACAUGUUCUUCAUAUCAGCAAAUUGGCAUCAACAUCCCUCCUUUGUUUAGGCCGAAAUCUUUAAGAGUUACACAUCUUCUCUCUUGCUUAUUUAUGGUUAUGGUUCACACUUCUCCUAUGCAUAAAUCCAACAAAAGAUGUCUAAAUACAUCUUCAAUUGAUGGCAUUGGCAUGGAUUAAAUUUAUCUUUGUUGAUCGUUUGUUGCUUAAAUUUAUAUAGCACGGUAGUUUUUCUUUGUGUUCUAAUUUUUUUUAUUGCUCAUUCAUGGAAAUUGUUCAGCAUAAUCUUUCUUUUGUCUUGCAUAUAAUUUCAGAUAAUUAAGUGUUAGUAUCAACUCAGUUUUAAGUAAGAUUGCAUCAGGCUAUUCUUAUGGCGUUGUUCUUUGAACAUGAAUAAUAGUAAAGCAUUAGAAAUUAUAUAUGAACAUGAAUUAUUAAGUUAUGGUACAAAAUUUGAAGCUAUGAAUUAUUA